UACGUAGGGGGCUAGCGUUGUCCGGAUUUAUUGGGCGUAAAGAGCGUGUAGGCGGCCAGGUAGGUCCGUUGUGAAAACUCGAGGCUCAACCUCGAGACGUCGGCGGAAACCCUCUGGCUAGGGUCCGGAAGAGGAGAGUGGAAUUCCUGGUGUAGCGGUGAAAUGCGCAGAUAUCAGGAAGAACACCCGUGGCGAAGGCGGCUCUCUGGGACGGUACUGACGCUGAGACGCGAAAGCGUGGGGAGCAAACAGG
rnacentral:rRNA from 1 species